UCUGUUUCUAUUGUCUUCAGUGUCAAGUAGCAAGUGACAUGAAUGAAUGCUGCUGUUGUGGCGGAAGCGUUGCCAUGAGGACUCUCUACCGGACAAGAUACGGAAUCUCUAUCUUCAAUACCUGAAGGAUGCAGGUGAAUUGGAAGGAAAUUAGAGAAGAGCAGUGAAACUAAUUUGGAGCAUGGAGGCAUUGACCAUAAGGAAAAUUCAGAGCUAAAUUUGUAUAGUUUUUGACAGUCAGUGGGGGGAGGGCUAUAACUGCAAAGACCUGAAAGGUAUGGAGCAGUGUGUUAAGGAGUGGUGUGAGGACCUGCAAAAGGAUGAAGUUAAGAAAAGAAAUAGUUUAGCUGAAUAUCAGAAAAUAUAUCCUAACCCUAAAUGCAAAAAACUGUUUAUCCGUUGAAAAAUUCCCCCACUGGAAACAUUUAAAAUGGAAACUGGACAGAACCCCAGAGGUUACUCUAUAAGGAACAAUCCUGCACAGGGAUCCAUCUGCUCUGAUUUCUGCAUUAUCCUGUGGUGGUCCUGUGUGUUCUGUUUGUCAAAUAAAGAGAGAUAUUAACAAAAGGAAAAAAUUAAGGAUAUUCUAAUAAGAGCCAAUUCCUGUCCUCAUAACUCUCUAGCCUCCUUGAUUUGAGGCAGAUUCAUUAAAAUAUACAGGUCUGCACUACAAGCAAUGAUAAGCAAUCAAGCAGCGUGUUCCUGUACUUCUUGAUUGUGUGUCGUAGAGCCUCUAUAUACAAGAGUCUUCCCACCGCCUGCUGUACUUACACUUCAAGAAAGUGCUGUAUGCAUUUUAAUUUGAUUGUUGCAAAGCACAACUUAUCUGAAAAAAGUCAGCAAAGGAAAGAAACAUCCUCAAUUUUGUCUUUGCAUGUAUGUGUGUUAACUUUCACUAUUGCUUCUCAAGUACCACUGUAUGUACUAAGCUGUCUUGAAAAGAUUUUCAUACACUG